rnacentral:rRNA from 1 species
AGAAUCAACGCUGGCGGCGUGCCUAACACAUGCAAGUCGCACGAGAAAGGGGAGCAAUCCCUGAGUACAGUGGCGCACGGGUGAGUAACACGUGAAUAAUCUACCUCCGAGUGGGGAAUAACUGAGAGAAAUCUUAGCUAAUACCGCAUAACACUUACGAGUCAAAGCAGCAAUGCGCUUGGAGAGGAGUUCGCGGCAGAUUAGUUAGUUGGCGGGGUAAUGGCCCACCAAGACGAUGAUCUGUAUCCGGCCUGAGAGGGCGCACGGACACACUGGAACUGAAACACGGUCCAGACUCCUACGGGAGGCAGCAGUGGGGAAUUUUGCGCAAUGGGGGAAACCCUGACGCAGCAACGCCGCGUGGAGGAUGAAGCCCCUUGGGGUGUAAACUCCUUUCGAUCGGGAAGAUAAUGACGGUACCGAUACUAAGAAGCCCCGGCUAACUUCGUGCCAGCAGCCGC